CUUUUGGAUUUUUUUCUUAUUCAUCAUCGAGUCAGAUUGUGGUUCUUGUAUGUCCAGCUUGGUAAAAUGUGGAUGACACACGUAAUAUCUAUUGUAAAUCUGUUCAUCGGAUAAUUCUUGCCAAUUUUGUGGAUUAAUAACUUCUAACCAACUUUUAAAAAUACUUGAAUUGGCUUUGGGGAAACGAUGUCUUUGGCUUACUCAGUCCAUACAUCCAGGUACACAACAAUUGUCCAUUUUUAUCAUUUUUAAAAGGUAUAAAUUAGCUUAUAUAUCACUAAUACCUACAACGUCCACUAAUAAUACAACAUUUUUUAACAGAAAAGAACGAACUCAACCUCUCAACUUCUGAACUUUAUUGUCACUGCUGCCAUGCUUGAAUCGCACCUAGCGGGCCUAGCGGCUGAAAAAUGAACUAACUGCGAAUGUAGCGCUACCAAGCGGUUGCGAUCCUCACUAAAAACAUCAAUAGUGGUGGGGGUUAAGAGGUGUCCCAUCUAUUCUCUGUAAUCUGUGUCAACAGACUGAGGUUUGAAACGCAUGUGGGAUGUUUAGCACUUUAGCAUCGAACAACGAUGCCAAGUUGAAAUUAUGUAAGAUGAAAAAAUAAUGGCAAUUGUUCAAAGGUGCCCCGUUGAAUGGUACCCCCUUCUACCCUACAUGUGGAUGGAUUGUGCAGUUCACACGGCAGAUAUUUCGACAAACAUUCGCUCUCUCGAUUGCGAUUAUUCAGUGGUGUGCCCCAGCAGUGAAAUGGAUUCCACCGGUUUUGACACCGAAAUGUUCAUUGAGGCUGUGAAGAAUCGGCCUAUAAUUUGAAAUCUGUCAUUGCCAGAGUACUUCGACAAGAUGAAAAAAAAAAGAGCGUGGAUGGAAGUUUGCUCACUGAUGUUCAACGGGUUUGAAGAAAAAUCAGAGAAGGAACAAAAUGAUAUAGGUUCGAAACUCAUGAAGAAAUGGAAGGGAAUGCGGGAUACUUUCAUGAAAAGUUGUAAGAAAAAACUGUAUCUGGACAAGGAGCUAACAGAAGCAGAUGUUAUAUAUAUGGAUGACAAAUGGAAUUUUUAAUCCAAACAAAUAUUCCAUCUGCAAAGCCGGCCACAGACACAGAGACAAGACGGCGUGCAACAUGCAAAGAAUGACAAGCAUCAACUUUCGCACUUAUUGCCCACACACAUGAGAGAAAAGAAGGCGGAAUAAUGCGCAAAGAACACUUAUAAUAGUAGUAGUGCGAGAAUUCGUCAGUUCGAAAAUGUCAUCAGCAGGAGAUGAGGAAUACUGCCUGAUGGCAGUGGCGUACGCUUGUUUAGUCAAAAAGAAGCAAUUAAAGUCGCUUCGAGAGAGGAAGCCAAGGAGUAAAUGGGUUAAAGAGUGGCUUUUGAAGAGAAACCAAUUUUCCCAUAUCAAUCUUCUACAAGAAUUGCGUUUGGAAGUUGAAGACUGGCGAAAUUAUCUUAGAAUGGAUGAAGAUUGCUAUUUGAAUUUAUUAGCGUUAGUAACACCAUUGAUUGGGAAAAAAAUACACCAAUGAGAUCGGCAAUAUCUGUGCAUGAACGAUUGACUGCUACACUUCGGUUUUUAGCAACCGGUAGAAAUCACGAAGAUUUGAAGUUUUCAACAAUAAUUUCUCCUCAGUCAUUGGGUCAAAUAAUUCCAGAAUGUUGCAGUGCUAUUUAUGAAGUAUUACGUCGUGAGUACAUGAAGUUUCCAUCAACAGAGAGUGAGUUGCUUCAUAUUGCUGAAGAAUUCGAAAAAACCAGCAAUUUUCCAAAUUUAUAAGGAGCAGUCGAUGGAAAACAUAUUCGUAUAAUUCCACCUUCUGGAAGUGGGUCCUAUUUUUUUAACUAUAAAGGAGAACAUAGUUAAGUUCUCAUGGCUAUAGUUGAUGCAAAUUAUGAGUUUAUCAUGUGUGAUUUUGGAGUGAAUGGUAGAAUAUCAGAUGGAGGAGUUAUAGAAUACACGAAAUUUUAUGACAAACUGAAGAAUGGAAAGUUGUCAUUGCCACCUCCAAGAAUUGUAAAAAAUAGUGACCAGCGAUUACCAUUUGUAUUUGUGGGUGAUGAAGCAUUUGCUUUACGUCCAAACUUCGUGAAACCAUUCAAUCAGAAGGAAUUAAACCACGAUAAGAAAAUUUUCAAUUACCGACUCUCUCGAGCCAGAUGUAGGGUGGAGAAUGCAUCUGGAAUAUUAUCAGCGCGAUUCAGAAUAUUCCACACCUCUAUUGGAAUAAACUUGGAAGAUGCAGAAAAAGUUGUAAUGGCAUAUUCUCAAAUAAUUAUUUGAGAAGAAAUCGUGCAACUUCCUAUACGCCAGAUAAUUGUUUUCAUCAAGAAGAUGUUGAUAAUGGGGCAGUUAAGGAAGGCUUACUUUGUACAAUGAAUACACUGCAACGUGGUUUCAAUAGAAAUAACAAUAGUGCAGCAAAAGAAGUGCGAGAAUUAUUCAUAAAUUAUUUCAACAACGAAGGAGCUAUAUCAUGGCAAGAACGAAUGAUAUGGUGAAUAAGAAAUGAGAACAAAAAUGAUUGUAGAUUUGUAGCAAUUAGAUUAGAGAAUAGAAUUAGGGCUAGUAUUAUUUAUGCUGUAUGACAUAAUCAAAUAUGUAGACAUUUUGUAUAAAAACCAAUAUGAAAACCAUCUUUUUGGAUCAUACAUUAAAAAUAUUAAUCUUUUCUUGUCGUAAUCAUUCACCCCUAGAAAUUUUUUUAUGCAUAAUUAGGUACCUAUAUGAUAGACGAGUGAUGGGCCA